AUUUCUUCUUUGGCACAGCUUCUUCUGCUUUCCAAUAUGAAGGUGCGUACUUAACCGAUGGAAAAGGUCUGAACAAUUGGGAUGUCUUUGCCCAUGAAAACCCUG